CUGGCUCAGGACGAACGCUGGCGGCGUGCCUAAUACAUGCAAGUCGAGCGGAGUUUAUCGGGAGCUUGCUCCUGAUAAACUUAGCGGCGGACGGGUGAGUAACACGUAGGCAACCUGCCCGUAAGACUGGGAUAACUACCGGA
rnacentral:rRNA from 1 species